GCGAACGCUGGCGGCAGGCCUAACACCUGCAAGUCGAACGAACCUUUCGGGGUUAGUGGCGGACGGGUGAGUAACACGUGGGAACGUGCCUUUAGGUUCGGAAUAACUCAGGGAAACUUGUGCUAAUACCGAAUGUGCCCUUCGGGGGAAAGAUUAAUCGCCUUUAGAGCGGCCCGCGUCUGAUUAGCUAGUUGGUUGAGGUAAUGGCUCACCAAGGCGACGAUCAGUAGCUGGUCUGAGAGGAUGAUCAGCCACAUUGGGACUGAGACACGGCCCAAACUCCUACGGGAGGCAGCAGUGGGGAAUCUUGCGCAAUGGGCGAAAGCCUGACGCAGCCAUGCCGCGUGAAUGAUGAAGGUCUUAGGAUUGUAAAAUUCUUUCACCGGGGACGAUAAUGACGGUACCCGGAGAAGAAGCCCCGGCUAACUUCGUG
rnacentral:rRNA from 1 species